UAACGCGUGGGUAACCUGCCUCAUACAGGGGGAUAGCAGCUGGAAACGGCUGGUAAUACCGCAUAAGCGCACGGUAUCGCAUGAUACAGUGUGAAAAACUCCGGUGGUAUGAGAUGGACCCGCGUCUGAUUAGCUAGUUGGUGAGGUAACGGCUCACCAAGGCGACGAUCAGUAGCCGACCUGAGAGGGUGACCGGCCACAUUGGGACUGAGACACGGCCCAG
rnacentral:rRNA from 1 species